GUGCAUCUGAUGUGAACUAGAGCAGAUUAUAUUUUUGAUUCUUUUAAAAGUUAUACAUCUUUUUGUUGCAAAACCUGCCCAAAGAACCUCUUCCCCAGUUUAUGCCAAAUCCUCCUUCCCUCAUUCCAGUGAGAAUUCCCUUCAUUGUCAGCGGUCAGAAUUUUCAAAUUUGUCUGCCACAAGUUAGGUGCCUAAAUCCAUAUUUAGAUACUAAAAUGAGCACUCUGGUUUUCAAACAUCCUGAGCAACCACAGUUCCCAUUGAUUUCAGAGGGAGCUGUGAGUAGUCAGCACUUUUGAAAAUCAGGUCACUUAUUUAUUUACAUGCUUACAUAUGAAUUUAGGUGCCUGACUUUUGGCAGUCAAGUUUGAAAAUUUUGGCCAAGAACAAUGGAACAGGUUAGUAUCAUAUAUUCAGCAUGAUUUUUAAGCACUAUUUAAAUAUCUAUAUCAGGAGAAAAAGGGUCAGCAAUACAUAGCUCCUUUACAAAGUGGGUUCCCCUCACCUCCACCCUGCCCAUUCUGGUGGGGGUUGCAGCAAUUUUGUUAAAAGAAAUGCAAACUUGCAAACUACCUUGCUGCUUUUAUGGAUAAAUAAACUCCUUUCAUUGUUACUCCCAUGUUGCAGCAGCAGGAAGUGGAUUUAAUUAGCAAAAUGCAUGUUAGAACCAGGAAAUGUAAUAUACAAGGUGACAUUGAAAUUACAGGGCCUUCUUUGUGCUACAGCAAUCUUCAAUUCCAGAGGCUAAUGUUCCUGUCUGCAGUGACCUCUCAAAUUGUCUUCGUUCAGUGUCUCUUUUAGCACCUGUAAUGAAUCCUAGAGCAGAAAAAGACCUCACGGUUGAACUGAACACAGGCAGCAUCAGAAAGAAUUGAAGAGCUCUCCCAUUUCAGCUAAAGGAGAAUCUUCACUGUAGAGUUUAAAUCUUCUAACCAGCCACUAGAAUCAUAGAAAUGUAGGGCUUGAAGGGAAGAAUACUUGAAGGGAUCUAGUAUUCUACUCCAGCCCCCUGCACAAAAGCAGAAUCAAGUAUACGUAGAGGGUGAUAAUCUUGUCUUUUUGAGAAGUUCUGACUUUCUUUUUAGAGAAGGCCGUGGCACAUACACAUGCUAGUCAGUAUAUAUUGCAUAUCACUUUUAUAUUUUAUACCCUGCAGCUAUUUCCAAUAUGUGGGCCAAAUCCUGAACUCCUUACUCUCCGUGUACUUACACAGGCAAAAUUCCCAUUAACAAGGACCAAGUACAAACUGAAUAAGGAGCUCAGUUUUUUCCCUUAUAGCGGGGUAAUAAGAGAGAAAAUGAUUGAUGGUGAUAGCAUAGUUCAAAUAAUUCUUGAUGUUAAAAUAUAUAAAUUAAAAGCAUGUUUAUUAGUGUGUCACGUAAUUGAGUUUUGAGCACACUUUAAUGUGGUAAAUUCUUAUAGCACCACUGAACAGUUCUAAUCGUUUCAAGAAAUGGCUCAUCUGCUAUCCUCUCACACUGCAUUAUACACUCUCCCUUAAGAAGAACAGGAGUACUUGUUUCAGAGUAACAGCCCUGUUAGUCUGUAUUCG